UACAGAGGUCCCAAGCGUUGUUCGGAUUCAUUGGGCGUAAAGGGUGCGUAGGCGGCGCGGUAAGUCGGGUGUGAAAUCCCGGGGCUCAACCCCGGAACUGCAUUCGAUACUGCCUUGCUCGAGUACUGGAGAGGAGACUGGAAUUUACGGUGUAGCAGUGAAAUGCGUAGAUAUGUGGAGGAACACCGAUGGCGAAGGCAGCCUCCUGGGCCAGCACUGACGCUCAUGCACGAAAGCGUGGGGAGCAAACAGG
rnacentral:rRNA from 1 species